GCUACUUCAUUGAUUUUAUCCUCACAGCAAUCUGAUCAGUGUUUUAUUUCCUUAUUUCAGACAGAAGGACUGAUUCCAAGGGCCUGGGCUGAGGACAUGGCUGAUAAGUAACAGUUGGGGUCCAACUCAAACUGCCUGACACAGGAGUCUGAACCCAUCCCUCCACCCCAUGCCCUUGUGGAACACAAGGGUGUGCCAUUAAUUUCUGGGUAACAAGGAGACAGAGAAUGGUUCUGCUCUCCAGCUGUGGCACAUUCCUAUUAUAUUCAAGGUUCAGCAUAAGAGAGAACUCAAAGUGCUACCUGGUUCAGGGAAAGAAUGAACCAUUAAUGACCAACCCUGUCAAUUUGAGAGAACAUGUCAACCUCUUUAUUUGGGCCUGUAAACAGAAAAAUCAAACCUAUGGUUUCCUGCUACCCAUCUGGAUUUCCAAACUGGCUUUCAGCCAUGAACUUUGUUCUUCCUGAUUAGAAACAGAGUCAUUGUUGGGAAGGGAGGUAGGGAGAGAGGAAGGAAAUAGUAAUGAAUCUUAUCAAGGCAACUUGCAACACUGGGAUUGUGUCAUUCAACUAGAGUGUUUUUAUAUAGGUAAGCAAACUAGUUGGCAUUUGUUUCUUUUCUUGGAAAAUCUUUGUGUCACAGCUAUUUUUUGUGUAAUACUAAGAUUUACUCAUCAACUUAUAUCAGUAGUCAUUUACCUUUCAGAAAAAGCAUACCACUACAGAGCUAUAUUAAAUUUUGUAGAUAUUUAGAAGAUAAUCUUGUGUUUUAUAAAAUAACUUUUAAGUUUACGUAUUCUGCUAUUAAACUUCAGUAAGCAAUCAAGCAAAAAUAGUAGCUGUAGCUUGUUGGCACUCCAAUUAAUUGAUUUUGUAGUAAUAAACUUAAAAGUAUUAUAUAAAAAUAUUACAUAAAUAAAGCAGUAAUAAACUGAAAGCAUUACAUCGUUUUCUAAAAGUCACAAAUAAAAUAUCAAUGUUUAUGUUUUAUUUCCCCAGGCUGUUUUUUUUUUUUUAAUUUUUGCAUGGGGAUUUAAUGAGGUUUGCUAAAAAGUGGAAUAGCAAGAGGGAAUUACCAUUUAUUCAAUCAUACCCUCUGUUGUUACCAUAACAAGAUUGACUGAUGUGCUAGGCACUUUACAUAUGUUAUCAUGUUUAAAUAGCUGAGUAAGUCCAGUGUCCUGAAAAAUGAGUAUCAUCAGUGGAUUGCAUGACAGAGAGUCAGCAACAGUUAAAUUUUCAGUUUUGUGCUGCUCAGUCUUCAAAUUAGUUUGCAAUUCUGAAUAUAUAUUCUGAAAACUUAGAAUGGGCACAUUGUCCUCAAGUUUGAAUUGUCGUCUUUCUUUUAUUUAGUCAAUAAAUAGUGUUUAUUGAGCAACUACAAUGUAAUAAAGUCUGGGGUAAUCACAUAAAAAUUUAAUUCUAAAAAAAUUUAAUUCUAAUAAAGUCAUAAUCAAAUGCAAUUGAAAAAAAUUUUUGUGGUACAAGCUCUUUCAUGA
rnacentral:lncRNA from 1 species